rnacentral:tRNA from 1 species
GUGGGGCUGUAGCUCAGUGGCAGAGUGCUUGCCUCGCACAUGUGAGGCACUGGGUUUGAUCCUCAGCACCACA